rnacentral:rRNA from 1 species
CCAGCAGCUGCGGUAAUUCCAGCUCCAAUAGCGUAUACUAAUGUUGUUGCAGUUAAAAAGCUCGUAGUCGGAUUUCAGUAUUAGGCCCUUCUUCCAAUACGGUUGCUAGUGGUCUUUACUUCCUUAACAGAAUCUUUCAUUUUAUUAAUUUAAAGUGUUUGGGGCCUGUUUCUUUUACUUUGAGAAAAUUAGAGUGUUCAAAGCGGGUUUUCGCCUGGAUAUUACUCUUGGAAUAAUAAUAUAGGACUUUGGUUCUUUUUUGUUGGUGACUUAGAACCGAAGUAAUGAUUGAUAGGGACAGUUGGGGUCAUUCGUACUAUGAAGCGAGAGGUGAAAUUCAUGGACCUUUGUAUGACGAACUACUGCGAAAGCAUUUGACUAGGAUGUUCCCGUCAAUCAAGAACGAAAGU